rnacentral:rRNA from 1 species
GAUGAACGCUAGCUACAGGCUUAACACAUGCAAGUCGAGGGGAAACGAUAUUGGAAGCUUGCUUCCGAUAGGCGUCGACCGGCGCGCGGGUGAAUAACGCGUAUCCAACCUGCCCACCACUUGGGGAUAACCUUGCGAAAGUAAGACUAAUACCCAAUGACGUCUCUAGAAGACAUCUGAAAGAGAUUAAAGAUUUAUCGGUGAUGGAUGGGGAUGCGUCUGAUUAGCUUGUUGGCGGGGUAACGGCCCACCAAGGCGACGAUCAGUAGGGGUUCUGAGAGGAAGGUCCCCCACAUUGGAACUGAGACACGGUCCAAACUCCUACGGGAGGCAGCAGUGAGGAAUAUUGGUCAAUGGGCGAGAGCCUGAACCAGCCAAGUAGCGUGCAGGAUGACGGCCCUAUGGGUUGUAAACUGCUUUUAUGAGGGAAUAAAGUGAGUCUCGUGAGACUUUUUGCAUGUACCUUAUGAAUAAGGACCGGCUAAUUCCGUGCCAGCCGCCGCAGUAA